GGCUGAUAUUGUUCCAUUAAUUGCGCAAGGGGCUGGUACCGUUGUGAUUGCGCGAGGGGCUGAUAUUGUUAUGAGAUAUUGUCCGAGGGACGGAGUUGUUGACAUUGUGCCUGAAGGGUGAACCUUUAUGUAUUUAUCUUUCAUAUUUACUUGCCAUUUUACUUGUUAAACUAUGGUAUUUUGGCCCGAGGGGCGGAUUUUGUGCUUAUCUGCACUACUUGUUUUGCAUUUAUUUGCGUAACUGUUGAAAAAGCCAUUUUCAAAGGAGUUUAAACUGCGCUGAGAUGUUUUUAAGAGAUUUUACAGCUUUACUGUUUUCUUACUAUUUUUGAAAUUGCUUCUAUACAACAUCCUGGUAUGCUUUACGUGAUUUCUUGCGGCUCAGUUCUUAUUUACCUUUAUUACUCACUAAGUCGGAGUACUCACUUUACUCCCGACACCUUGUGUACAGAUUCAGGUAUUUAUACAUUCGAUAGUGGGUUUUGGCUUAUGGGAAGUGGGUUUUGGCUUAUGGGAAGCAGUGUCAUUUGGAGUUUAGUAAGGUGGUUGUCAGCGUCCGCAUCAUUGAUUUUCUCCCUCUCUAUUUCAUUUAUCCGUACUCAGUACAUUUUAGACUAUUCAACUGUAGUUAGACCCUAGUAGAUACUGUGACUUGUGAUACCCCGAUGUCAGGCUGUAUUUAUUUUUGCAGUGUUUAUUUAAACUCAUGUUAUGAAAUUCUUGAUAAAUAAAAAAGGAAUUAAACAGACUCAUUUAAAUGAUUGAGUUGUAUUGGGAAUUGUAUAGGCUGGCCUUGUCUUCACGAGAGGUGCCAUCUUGGCCGGGUCUAAUUUGGGGUCGUGACAAUCAACGGUCAGAGAUUUUGUAAUCAC
rnacentral:lncRNA from 1 species